rnacentral:rRNA from 1 species
UGCGGAGGAAAAGAAACUAACAAGGAUUCCCCUAGUAGCGGCGAGCGAAGCGGGAAAAGCUCAAAUUUGUAAUCUGGCGUCUUCGACGUCCGAGUUGUAAUCUCGAGAAGUGUUUUCCGUGAUAGACCGCAUACAAGUCUCUUGGAACAGAGCGUCAUAGUGGUGAGAACCCAGUACACGAUGCGGAUGCCUAUUACUUUGUGAUACACUUUCGAAGAGUCGAGUUGUUUGGGAAUGCAGCUCAAAUUGGGUGGUAAAUUCCAUCUAAAGCUAAAUAUUGGCGAGAGACCGAUAGCGAACAAGUACCGUGAGGGAAAGAUGAAAAGCACUUUGGAAAGAGAGUUAACAGUACGUGAAAUUGUUGGAAGGGAAACACAUGCAGUGAUACUUGCUAUUCGGGGCAACUCGAUUGGCAGGCCCGCAUCAGUUUUUCGGGGCGGAAAAGCAUAGAGAGAAGGUAGCAGUUUCGGCUGUGUUAUAGCUCUUUAUUGGAUUCGCCCUGGGGGACUGAGGAACGCAGCGUGCUUUUUGCAUGAGCUUCGGCU